GAUGAACGCUAGCUACAGGCUUAACACAUGCAAGUCGAGGGGUAACAAGAGAAAAGCUUGCUUUUCUUGUUGACGACCGGCGCACGGGUGAGUAACGAGUAUCCAACCUGCCUAUAACUAGGGAAUAACCUUGCGAAAGUAAGACUAAUACCCUAUGAUUUCCUUUGAUGACAUCAGAUUAGGAAUAAAGAUUUAUCGGUUAUAGAUGGGGAUGCGUCUGAUUAGCUUGUUGGCGGGGUAACGGCCCACCAAGGCAACGAUCAGUAGGGGUUCUGAGAGGAAGGUCCCCCACAUUAGAACUGAGACACGGUCCAAACUCCUACGGGAGGCAGCAGUGAGGAAUAUUGGUCAAUGGGCGGAAGCCUGAACCAGCCAAGUAGCGUGCAGGAUGACGGCCCUAUGGGUUGUAAACUGCUUUUAUACAGGAAUAAAGUUAGCCACGUGUGGUUAUUUGUAGGUACUGUAUGAAUAAGGACCGGCUAAUUCCGUGCCAGCAGCCUCAGUAA
rnacentral:rRNA from 1 species